rnacentral:lncRNA from 1 species
UUCUGUUUAUUUAUUAUAAUUUUUAUUUUUGGUUGAACUUUUAUUUUUGUUUUUAUUUUUUUUUAUUUGUGAGACUUUUUAAUUUUAUUUGUAUUUUGAACUAUGUUUUUAUUUUUAUUAUUUUGAUGGUUGUUAUUACUCGAGUUUGUAAUCUAUUUCUCUUCUUAUUUAUUUGUGUUUAUCUUCUUAUUAGUUUGCUCGAAAAUAUGCACUAUAUUUAGAUUUCUCAUAAUUUCAGUUUUCACUAUUCUGGCAAUUUCAUCCAAAUUCAGGGCAGUUUAAGUUCUCCCCUUCUCUUUUGAUAUUGUGCUUCUUUUAUGCUUAUAUC